AACGAACGCUGGCGGCAGGCCUAACACAUGCAAGUCGAACGCCCUAGCAAUAGGGAGUGGCAGACGGGUGAGUAACGCGUGGGAACCUUCCCUAUAGUACGGAAUAUACCAGGGAAACUUGGAGCAAUACCGUAUACGCCCGAAAGGGGAAAGAUUUAUCGCUAUAGGAUGGGCCCGCGUUGGAUUAGCUAGUUGGUGAGGUAAUGGCUCACCAAGGCGACGAUCCAUAGCUGGUCUGAGAGGAUGAUCAGCCACACUGGGACUGAGACACGGCCCAGACUCCUACGGGAGGCAGCAGUGGGGAAUAUUGGGCAAUGGGCGAAAGCCUGACCCAGCCAUGCCGCGUGAGUGACGAAGGCCUUAGGGUUGUAAAGCUCUUUUGGCGGGGACGAUAAUGACGGUACCCGCAGAAUAAGCCCCGGCUAACUUCGUGCCAGCAGCCGCCGUAACAC
rnacentral:rRNA from 1 species